UAUCUGCGUUCGUAAAAGAAUUUGAAAGAUUACCUUAAUUAAAUGUAUUCACGUAGAAUAGUAAUUGUAACCAACCUUUUUGUUGUAAAUCCACCAAUACGAGGUGUUUCAUUCCGUUGGCGCGCCUACUAGCGGCGCUGGUCGAAAUCGACGAUCGUUGAGAAAGGUUAUGGCGCCGGUACCGAAAGUAACGGCUUCUAAUUCGGCCGUGAGCGAACACCGGCCGAAAAUACAAUAUCGAGAAACGGAUAAACGAAUUUAGAAUUCAUUACUCUCUUUUCAUCGCUUUCGUAUGGUGUUGAUGCCGAAACCUUAUCGUUUGAAAUUUUUAAUAAAACUCAAGAUAUAUUUAGUCACGCGUACUAUCAAUGAGAAUGUAUAUGAUGAUUAAGAACAAUUAUCUCAUCGCGAGUAGUACGUUUCAUGUCACGGGUGCAACGAUCUCGGUCUGCUAAACCGAGGCAAGAUCAAUGAACACGACCGGCCAACCGAUAGCUGCGAACGAGAUUACAAGUUUGAAUUUCGAUAACCAUCUAUAUAUAUGACAAUUAAACGGCUAAAAAUGAUACUUUAAAGGAUUGAAUUUACAGCGUUAAGAAAGGACUUAUAUAUGAAAUCCACGAAUAAGGUCACUUGCUAUGUAAUUGAACUUACAAAUGAAGCGAUAGAAAGGAAAAGAAGACCAGCAGCCGGUGUAUAACAUCGUUUUUUCGGUUCCUUGUUAAUUACCACAUCGAACACGUAAACUGAGCAAAAACACGUACUUAUCCUGAUUUACUUGAUUAGAAUACACGAGUCAACCGAUUGGAUUUGUUCCAAAGCGAAGUUGUUCCUUUCAACGCUACAAUCAUCCAGCCUAAUCGGUGUUUUCUAGCAUCGAAAAUGAAAUGCACGUUUAAUUUGACUAACCACAACUAAAGAAAACGAACGAAUAACAACUCUAUAUUUAGAUGAUCUGCACUCCAAUCUUUUUUCGUGGUUAUUUUUGGUUUAACUAGUUCAUCUGAAUUUUGAGAAAGGAACGGUACCUAUAGAAACCGCAAGAUGGAAAAGAUAAGACGCUGCCGACUCGUGGCAAAAUCUACCAUGCGUUGAUUAGAUACGAAGUUAGAAAGAUUCGUGAACCUAACAAACAAAAUGGCCAAAUAGAAU